rnacentral:rRNA from 1 species
ACGUAGGGUGCAAGCGUUAAUCGGAAUUACUGGGCGUAAAGCGUGCGCAGGCGGUUCGGUAAGAAGGGUGUGAAAUCCCAGGGCUCAACCUUGGAACUGCAUUUGUAACUACCGAACUAGAGUAUGUCAGAGGGGGGUGGAAUUCCCGGUGUAGCGGUGAAAUGCGUAGAUAUCCGGAGGAACACCAGAGGCGAAGGCGGCUCUCUGGGAUAAUCCUGACACUGAGGCACGAAAGCGAGGGUAGCAAACAG